rnacentral:rRNA from 1 species
GCACAAGCGGUGGAUUAUGUGGAUUAAUUCGAUGCAACGCGAAAACCUUACCUACCCUUGACAUGUCCUGAAGCCUGGAGAGAUCCGGGUGUGCCCGAAAGGAACGGGAACACAGGUGCUGCAUGGCUGUCGUCAGCUCGUGUCGUGAGAUGUUGGGUUAAGUCCCGCAACGAGCGCAACCCUUGUCAUUAGUUGCUACAUUUGGUUGGGCACUCUAAUGAGACUGCCGGUGACAAACCGGAGGAAGGUGGGGAUGACGUCAAGUCCUCAUGGCCCUUAUGGGUAGGGCUUCACACGUAAUACAAUGGCGCGUACAGAGGGUUGCCAAGCCGCGAGGUGGAGCCAAUCCCAGAAAGCGCGUCGUAGUCCGGACUGCAGUCUGCAACUCGACUGCAUGAAGUCGGAAUCGCUAGUAAUCGCGAAUCAGAAUGUCGCGGUGAAUACGUUCCCGGGCCUU